AUUUGACUGAGGUGUCUUAAAUAGGACGAAAUGUACGUCUUGGAU
rnacentral:hammerhead_ribozyme from 1 species